GUUGAGUCUCAAUUAAGAUAUUAGAAUUAAUGUUUUGAAAUAAUUUGAAAUUUGAAAAUUUUGAAUUCAUAAAUAUUUUAAGAAUUAUGAUUUUGAUUGAGUAUGAAACUUAGGUAGUUAAAAUAAUUGCUAUGAAAUUUAAUAUGAAAAUGUGGGUUUGAAAUAUGGAUGAGAUAAAGAGAGAAUUUAUUCAUUUUGAAAUGGAUGUGAAAGGGAUAAUGAUAUUUUAUUUAUGUAAUUCAUCUAAUGUUGAAAUGUAUUUCUUGAAUCUGUGUUUAAAUAAGGGAACUGUUCUACUUAUGAGGGAGAUGUUGAAUUUUCGGUAGGAAUUAUAAGGGAAAUGUUCUACUUAUGAGGGAGAUGUUGAAUUUUCGGUAGGAAUUAUAAGGGAAA
rnacentral:misc_RNA from 1 species